CUCAAUGGCUGUGCCACCCUGAACAAGCCCGAUUCCGUCUUAUCUUGGAAGCUAAGCAGUGUCGGGCCUGGUUAGUACUUGGAUGGGAGAUCACCUGGGAAGACCACCAGGUGCUAUAGACA
rnacentral:rRNA from 1 species